CUAAUGUUGAGUUUGUUGAGAUUGUUUAAUUUAAUUUUCCACUUCUUCUUCAUGAAAAACUCAGCCCUCGAUUGUAUACAUUUUGCUGUGUACAAUCAGUGUGGACCUCCUGCUUACACUGCAGCGGUAGGCAACACUGCUCGCUCUUUCUUACCCAUACAGCGCAAUCCAAGCAAUAAACCCGUUUGCCGGCCGGUUUGAGAAGAGUUGAUCUUAGCAACCAUGGCAUAAGGGGUUUUUCGAGGUGUAAAGGGACGAGAUCUUUGCGGCCUGUGCCCGUUUCGUGCGUUUUCUUUCCCGUAUUUUGCGUUUUCCCGAUAUUAACAGAGAGAAUAAGAGCGACAGAGAAAGCAUGAAGGAAGUUUACAAGACAGAAGAAGACAGUGAGGGAAAAAAAUUACAACAUCUACUUCCAACAGCGGAGUAACUUCUUUGCGAUCUACGCGAUGUGUGCUCAGUGCCGGUUCUCUCGCCGCCCUUGGAGUGUGUCCGUGCCACACCCACGACUCUAUCGAAGCUUUUGCUGUCCAUCUUCAAACUUUACACCUUACUUCUUUCCCGGAUGAUCUGGAGGAUGAUCUUUUCUUGAUUUUGUUUCCCGAGCAACGAAUUUGACUUUCUCAACAUCAACUUCAUUCGGCCACGGCAUUGAGCGGCCGGGCUGAAGAUGAUCUUACGAAUCUUUUUGGAAAUAGCACACAAAAAACGCCAAAUCUUUCUGUUAAUUCUGUUCCUCUGAUGAUGAUGAGGGAGGAAGAACUUCCUAAGAGGAGUGCGGGAUGCCCUGAUUACGCCUUGGCUGGUCAUGGCCACCGGUUUUACGUUCUCCAGAAUCGAAGAUUCGCUCCGGAACCUGCGGAACAUACGGAGUUCCGGUUAUUUUUUUCUUUAGCGCUGCCCUUAAGUUCCUUAAUUUUGUAUGCUUUUUUGUAAUUACUGGAGAAACUUCAAAAACAAUAUAAAGCAUGAAGUUCCAA